UGAGGAAUAUUGGUCAAUGGACGGAAGUCUGAACCAACCAAGUCGCGUGAAGGAUGACUGCCCUAUGGGUUGUAAACUUCUUUUGUAUUGGGAGAAUAAGCCUUACGUGUAAGGUGAUGACUGUACAAUACGAAUAAGCAUCGGCUAACUCCGUGCCAGCAGCCGCGGUAAUACGUAGGGAGCAAGCGUUGUCCGGAAUUACUGGGUGUAAAGGGAGCGUAGGCGGGGAUACAAGUAAAAUGUUUAAACUAUCAGCUCAACUGGUAGUCGCGUUUUAAACUGUAUCUCUUGAGUGGAGUAGAGGCAGGCGGAACUCCUAGUGUAGCGGUGAAAUGCGUAGAUAUUAGGAGGAACACCAGUGGCGAAGGCGACUUACUGGACUGUAACUGACACCGAGGCUCGAAAGCUAGGGUAGCGAACG
rnacentral:rRNA from 1 species